rnacentral:misc_RNA from 1 species
GAUGAAGAACGUAGCGAAAUGCGAUAAGUAAUGUGAAUUGCAGAAUUCAGUGAAUCAUCGAAUCUUUGAACGCACAUUGCGCCAAUCAGUAAUCUGUUGGGCAUGCCUGUCCGAGCGUCAUUUCAACCCUCAGGGCCCGUUCGCGGGAACUGGUGUUGGGGAUCGGCCUCCCCCCGGAGGCCGGCCCCGAAAUGCAGUGGCGGCUCUACCGCGAUCUCCUCUGUGUAGUAGCGAUACCUCGCAGCUGGAUAGUGGUGGUGCCACGCCGUAAAAUCCCAACUUUACCAAGGUUGACCUCGGAUCAGGUAGGAAUACCCGCUGAACUUAAGCAUAUCAAUAAGCGGAGGA